UACGUAGGGUGCAAGCGUUAAUCGGAAUUACUGGGCGUAAAGCGUGCGCAGGCGGUGAUGUAAGACAGAUGUGAAGUCCCCGGGCUCAACCUGGGAACUGCAUUUGUGACUGCAUCGCUGGAGUACGGCAGAGGGGGAUGGAAUUCCGCGUGUAGCAGUGAAAUGCGUAGAUAUGCGGAGGAACACCGAUGGCGAAGGCAGCCCCCUGGGAUAACACUGACGCUCAUGCACGAAAGCGUGGGGAGCAAACAGG
rnacentral:rRNA from 1 species